AUACGGAGGAUGCAAGCGUUAUCCGGAUUUAUUGGGUUUAAAGGGUGCGUAGGCGGUUUGCUAAGCGGGAGGUGAAAUGCCGGCGCUCAACGUCGGAAGUGCCUCCCGAACUGGUGGACUGGAAUGACUCUGCCGUGGGAGGAAUGUGUAGUGUAGCGGUGAAAUGCUUAGAGAUUACACAGAACACCGAUUGCGAAGGCAUCUCACGAAGGGUUGAUUGACGCUGAGGCACGAAAGCGUGGGGAUCAAACAGGAUUAGAUACCCUGGCAGUCCACGCAGUAAACGAUGAUGGCUAACCGCUGGUUUUUUCGGAUCAGUGGCCAAGCGAAAGCGAUAAGCCAUCCACCUGGGGAGUACGACCGCAAGGUUGAAACUCAAAUGAAUUGGCGGGG
rnacentral:rRNA from 1 species